GACGAACGCUGGCGGCGUGCUUAACACAUGCAAGUCGAACGGAAAGGCCCUGCUUUUGUGGGGUGCUCGAGUGGCGAACGGGUGAGUAACACGUGAGUAACCUGCCCUUGACUUUGGGAUAACUUCAGGAAACUGGGGCUAAUACCGGAUAGGAGCUCCUGCUGCAUGGUGGGGGUUGGAAAGUUUCGGCGGUUGGGGAUGGACUCGCGGCUUAUCAGCUUGUUGGUGGGGUAGUGGCUUACCAAGGCUUUGACGGGUAGCCGGCCUGAGAGGGUGAACGGCCACAUUGGGACUGAGAUACGGCCCAGACUCCUACGGGAGGCAGCAGUGGGGAAUAUUGCACAAUGGGCGGAAGCCUGAUGCAGCAACGCCGCGUGCGGGAUGACGGCCUUCGGGUUGGAAACCGCUUUCGCCUGUGACGAAGCGUGAGUGACGGUAAUGGGUAAAGAAGCACCGGCUAACUACGUG
rnacentral:rRNA from 1 species